GGGAACGGGGCGGCGGGCUACACAUGCAAGUCGAGCGGUAGAGAGAAGCUUGCUUCUCUUGAGAGCGGCGGACGGGUGAGUAAUGCCUAGGAAUCUGCCUGGUAGUGGGGGAUAACGUUCGGAAACGAACGCUAAUACCGCAUACGUCCUACGGGAGAAAGCAGGGGACCUUCGGGCCUUGCGCUAUCAGAUGAGCCUAGGUCGGAUUAGCUAGUUGGUGAGGUAAUGGCUCACCAAGGCGACGAUCCGUAACUGGUCUGAGAGGAUGAUCAGUCACACUGGAACUGAGACACGGUCCAGACUCCUACGGGAGGCAGCAGUGGGGAAUAUUGGACAAUGGGCGAAAGCCUGAUCCAGCCAUGCCGCGUGUGUGAAGAAGGUCUUCGGAUUGUAAAGCACUUUAAGUUGGGAGGAAGGGCAGUUACCUAAUACGUGAUUGUUUUGACGUUACCGACAGAAUAAGCACCGGCUAACUCUGUGCCAGCAGCCGCGGUAAUACAGAGGGUGCAAAGCGUUAAUCGGAAUUACUGGGCGUAAAGCGCGCGUAGGUGGUUUGUUAAGUUGGAUGUGAAAUCCCCGGGCUCAACCUGGGAACUGCA
rnacentral:rRNA from 1 species